CUCGCUCGUACCACACCGUGCGCACGGUUUACCUCCCGUUAAAUGAAGUAAGUUGGUAAUCAGCUGGCAUUUGCUGUGUUUUGAUAGGUUCGCGACUCUUCGUGUUGUGUUUUCGCUUCUAAUUCCAUGAGCCACCUGGAUGUUUGGAUUUCCGAUUCACAGUCACAACCGGUAAAUGAGCCCGUGCUCCCCAAUAAGGAAGUAUGAAGUUACCAGUGCGCUACUGAGUACCCUCCAGAACGUCAGCCGACCCCAUUGAUCCCGUUUGUUGUUCAUUGAUCGCCAAUCAAUCGAUCGUCGACAGCGUAAUUCAAUUAUUCACCCAUAUUCGGUUAACUAAUGACCCGCUAUCGACGACGCCGCCGAUUUCGACGAAUUUGGCUCCAGUUACAGCAAUCGGUAGAGGAGGUAUACGGUAACUGGGGACCGGUGUGUUAGUCAGACGGGGACUACACAGAGACGGAAGGUAAUAAGCAAGCAGCUUGUGUUUGUUGCCGGUUACGAGUCAACGGAUAUCCACCUAUUGCUGCCUCACCAUCAUGGGUGAAGUGAUGAAAUCUUGUUGCUACUGUUGCUGCACCUGCUACCAGUCUGGAGUUUGCUGUGCAAGUCUGUGCUGCGUCGUACUACCGAUAAUCGGCCUACUUUCGAUAAUGGCCGGCAUUGUCGUUGCCAUAAUACUCGCCUUCUCCGUCGGACAUCACAGCUCGAGCAGCGAAUACACAAUCAGCCGGAUGGUGACGGUGCUGAGCAAUUUGUCAUUGGUGACGAUGACCAACUCCACCGCCGUCGGCGGUGAUGGGACUGGACUCUAAAGCAGCGACUAGUCAGUCCAAAUUGUAUGUUUUGAGAGUUUAUCUUAUGAUUAAUAUUUAUUGUGUUAGGUGUAGAUUUAUGUGCGUUAAGUUGUUUGUCUCUAAGCUGGAUUCGUAUUUAAAUCAGUAUCAACUGAAAGGUUAAAUGUCAGCGCGUUAAUUGAUUGUGAAUCACACAUAUAGCAUCCUGGAUUUAAGCUAUUUGAGAAAUUGGACUUCUGUUCUUCGCAUGUCAUUUAUCGCAUAAUUUUAACAUGUAAGUCUUCCGAAAGCCUUGGAACCAGUCAACUUGAACUUGUAUUAUUGUAUUAAAAUGUUUUCUUAGGUUAAAUCAAUUGAAUUCCAUAAUGAUAUUUAUGAGUUGGCACUCCAUUGCAUUGUGAGCUUUGGCUUCGGUAAUUUUAAAAAGUUAUCUUUUAAAUAAAAAAAAAAUCACUUUGAGAAAUUGUUUUCAGUAUCAAGUUUAUAGAUUCACAUAUAUUUAAUAGGACAUUUUAUA